rnacentral:rRNA from 1 species
GAUCAUGGCUCAGGACGAACGCUGGCGGCGCGCCUAACACAUGCAAGUCGAACGAGAGAGAAGGAGCUUGCUUCUUCGAUCGAGUGUCGAACGGGUGAGUAACGCGUGAGGAACCUGCCUCAAAGAGGGGGACAACAGUUGGAAACGACUGCUAAUACCGCAUAAGCCCACGGCUCGGCAUCGAGCAGAGGGAAAAGGAGUGAUCCGCUUUGAGAUGGCCUCGCGUCCGAUUAG